GACGAACGCUGGCGGCGUGCCUAAUACAUGCAAGUCGAACGCAGGUGCGAACGGGUGAGUAAUGCGUAGGUAACUGACUGAUGGGGGGGGAUAAUUGUUGGAAACGAUAGCAAAUACCGAAUACUGUGAGAUGGGCCUUCGUUGUAUUAGCUAGUUGGUGCGGGAACGGCUCACCAAGGCGAAGAUACAUAGCCGAACUGAGAGGGUUGUCGACCACACUGGGACUGCGACACGGCCCAGGCUCCUACGGGAGGCAGCAGGUGGGGAUCUUCGGCAAUUGACGGAAGGCUGACCGAGCAACGGCGGGUGAGUGAAGAAGGUUUUCGGAUCGUAAAGCUCUGUUGUUAGAGAAGCGGUAACUAACCAGAAAGGGACGGCUAACUACGUGCCAGCCGCCGCGGUAAUUC
rnacentral:rRNA from 1 species